UCCUACUACCGUGGUGAUUUGGCCGGCCGGCUUGCAGCCACGUAAAAACAACUUGCUAAAAGGCCGCGCGCAUUUCUGG
rnacentral:ncRNA from 2 species